UACGUAGGGGGCUAGCGUUGUCCGGAAUCAUUGGGCGUAAAGAGCGUGUAGGCGGUCCGGUAAGUCCGCUGUGAAAGUCGGGGGCUCAACCCCGGGUCGGCAGUGGAUACGGGCAGGCUAGAGGUAGGUAGGGGAGAAUGGAAUUCCCGGUGUAGCGGUGGAAUGCGUAGAGAUCGGGAAGAAUACCAGUGGCGAAGGCGUUCUGCUGGGCCGUUGCUGACACUGAGGCGCGACAGCGUGGGGAGCAAACAGG
rnacentral:rRNA from 1 species